rnacentral:rRNA from 1 species
CCUACGGGAGGCAGCAGUGAGGAAUAUUGGUCAAUGGACGAGAGUCUGAACCAGCCAAGUAGCGUGAAGGAUGACUGCCCUAUGGGUUGUAAACUUCUUUUAUAUGGGAAUAAAACGUUCCACGUGUGGGAUUUUGUAUGUACCAUAUGAAUAAGGAUCGGCUAACUCCGUGCCAGCAGCUGCGGUAAUACGGAGGAUCCGAGCGUUAUCCGGAUUUAUUGGGUUUAAAGGGAGCGUAGGUGGAUUGUUAAGUCAGUUGUGAAAGUUUGCGGCUCAACCGUAAAAUUGCAGUUGAAACUGGCAGUCUUGAGUACAGUAGAGGUGGGCGGAAUUCGUGGUGUAGCGGUGAAAUGCUUAGAUAUCACGAAGAACUCCGAUUGCGAAGGCAGUUCACUGGACUGCAACUGACACUGAGGCUCGAAAGUGUGGGUAUCAAACAGGAUUAGAUACCCCAGUAGUC